rnacentral:misc_RNA from 1 species
GAUGAAGAACGUAGCGAAAUGCGAUACGUAAUGUGAAUUGCAGAAUUCAGUGAAUCAUCGAAUCUUUGAACGCACAUUGCGCUCUCUGGUAUUCCGGAGAGCAUGCUUGUUUGAGUAUCAGUAAACACCUCAACUCCUUUAUUGUAGUUGGACUUGAGCUAUCCCAACUGGACUUUUUGUUCCUGGCGGGAGGCUUGAAAUGCAGGUGCAGCUGGACUUUCUUCUGAGCUAUAAGCAUAUUUAUUUAAUCCCUUAACACGGAUUAUUACUUUUUUGCUGCAGCUAACAUAAAGGUUGAAUUUCCAUUGAGCUGACUGAUGCAGGAAUUUGGCAAGGAAUUUUUUUAAUGACUUGUUAAACUCGAUCUCAAAUCAAGUAAGACUACCCGCUGAACUUAAGCAUAUCAAUAAGCGGAGGA